rnacentral:rRNA from 1 species
GGGGGGGGGGGGGGGGGGGGGUGGGGGGGGCAGGUCGGGGGGGGGGGCCCUGCUUUGGGGGGGGGCUCGAGUGGCGAGCGUGUGAGUAACACGUGAGUAACCUGCCCUUGACUUUGGGAUAACUUCAGGCAACUGGGGCUCAUACCGGAUAGGAGCUCCUGCUGCAUGGUGGGGGUUGGAAAGUUUCGGCGGUUGGGGAUGGACUCGCGGCUUAUCAGCUUGUUGGUGGGGUAGUGGCUUACCAAGGCUUUGACGGGUAGCCGGCCUGAGAGGGUGACCGGCCACAUUGGGACUGAGAUACGGCCCAGACUCCUACGGGAGGCAGCAGUGGGGAAUAUUGCACAAUGGGCGGAAGCCUGAUGCAGCAACGCCGCGUGCGGGAUGACGGCCUUCGGGUUGUAAACCGCUUUCGCCUGUGACGAAGCGUGAGUGACGGUAAUGGGUAAAGAAGCACCGGCUAACUACGUG